rnacentral:rRNA from 1 species
CAAGUCGAACGAAACUUCUUUAUCACCGAGUGCUUGCACUCACCGAUCCAUAGUUGAGUGGCGAACGGGUGAGUAACACGUGGGCAACCUGCCCAAAAGAGGGGGAUAACACUUGGAAACAGGUGCUAAUACCGCAUAACCAUAGUUACCGCAUGGUAACUAUGUAAAAGGUGGCUAUACUACCGCUUUUGGAUGGGCCCGCGGCGCAUUAGCUAGUUGGUAGGGUAAAGGCUUACCAAGGCAAUGAUGCGUAGCCGAAUUGAGAGGUUGAUCGGCCACAUUGGGACUGAGACACGGCCCAAACUCCUACGGGAGGCAGCAGUAGGGAAUCUUCCACAAUGGGCGAAAGCCUGAUGGAGCAACGCCGCGUGGGUGAAGAAGGUCUUCGGAUCGUAAAACCCUGUUGUUAGAGAAGAAAGUGCGUGAGAGUAACUGUUCACGUUUCGACGGUAUCUAACCAGAAAGCCACGGCUAACUACGUGCCAGCAGCCGCGGUAAUACGUAGGUGGCAAGCGUUAUCCGGAUUUAUUGGGCGUAAAGGGAACGCAGGCGGUCUUUUAAGUCUGAUGUGAAAGCCUUCGGCUUAACCGGAGUAGUGCAUUGGAAACUGGGAGACUUGAGUGCAGAAGAGGAGAGUGGAACUCCAUGUGUAGCGGUGAAAUGCGUAGAUAUAUGGAAGAACACCAGUGGCGAAAGCGGCUCUCUGGUCUGUAACUGACGCUGAGGUUCGAAAGCGUGGGUAGCAAACAGGAUUAGAUACCCUGGUAGUCCACGCCGUAAACGAUGAAUGCUAAGUGUUGGAGGGUUUCCGCCCUUCAGUGCUGCAGCUAACGCAAUAAGCAUUCCGC